GUCUGCUGGCUGUCAUUUGUCAGUCGUGAACUACGUAGCUUAUCUACGGUAGGAAACGGGGAUUCGCUCUUGAACAUAUGCGGUAAAUUUGCUCUAUGAGCUUCAGGUGCUUCAAGAAUUUGUGAUAUUUCUAGUUUUUUAAAUACCAAAUAUUUGAAAAGAUGUCUGAAGAAGGACUGGAAUAUGAUGCUAUAAUUCAAGAUGGACCGAGAAAGGCUGCCAUGACAACAAGCAUAGACCGAGAUAAGAUCACAGCAGCUUAUGAGGACGUCCGUUCUGAUAACUCCGAUACAGAAUGGGCUGUAUUCAAGUUUGAAGACACGCACAUCUUCUGCUCAGCCAAGGGUACACAAUUUGAGAAAUUCCGUGAACAGUUUGCUGAUGAUGAAAGAGCUUUUGGGUACAUCAGACUUCAGAUGGGUGAUGAAAUGAGUAAGCGACAAAAAUUUCUGUUUUUGACCUGGGUGGGACCAUCAGUGGGAGUCAUCAAAAGGGCCAAGAUGAGCACAGACAAGGCCAUGGUCAAAGAGAUUAUCAUGAAUUUUGCUGUGGAGCUACAACUGGAAAACAAAAAUGAGUUUGAAAUUGAUCACUUCCGUGAGCAACUUCUGCGUGCUGGCGGAGCUAACUAUGGUACUGGCAUGCGUGAUGCUUAGCAGGUCCAGUAGGCCUAGUAUGUGACAAGACAAGUGAUGGAACACUUCAGAAUUUUUGUAUCAGUGAAUCAAAUUGCCAAUAAUGAUCACAAACUUGUGUACGUUUAUGACAGAAAUAUUUUGUAGUCUUCAGUGCUGGAUUACAGUUUGAAGAGAGGAAGAUGUAAUUACUAUGGAGAGUUAUUGCUGCUUUAAAUAUCACAAUAGAUUUGCAAAUAAGAUGAUCAUAAGUGAGGACAUAAACAUUUUAUUUAUAUCGAUCUUGUUUCUGUUUGUAACUUAAUUUGUUAUGCAAGAAUCAAUGUAGCAGCAACCAUAGCUUAAUUUUACUCUUUGGAAAGGAAAUGUUUUCAUUAAUAAGUAAACUUCAAAAAUCUACAACAAACUAUAAACCUGUUUGUAAGGAAUAUAUACAUUAAAAUUUAUAAGAAUU